CCUACGGGAGGCAGCAGUAGGGAAUAUUGCUCAAUGGGGGCAACCCUGAAGCAGCAACGCCGCGUGGAGGAUGAAGGUUUUCGGAUUGUAAACUCCUUUUGUGAGAGAAGAUAAUGACGGUAUCUCACUAAUAAUCACCGGCUAACUCCGUGCCAGCGGCCGCGGUAUUACGGAGGGUGCAAGCGUUAUUCGGAGUUACUGGGCGUAAAGAGCGCGUAGGCGGGAUGGCAAGUCAGAUGUGAAAUCCUCUGGCUCAACCAUAGAACUGCAUUUGAAACUGUUAUUCUAGAGUAUGGGAGAGGUAGGCGGAAUUCUUGGUGUAGCGGUAAAAUGCGUAGAGAUAAAGAGGAAUACUGAUUGCGAAGGCGACCUGCUGGAACAUAACUGACGCUGAGGCGCGAAAGCGUGGGGAGCAAACAGGAUUAGAUACCCCAGUAGUC
rnacentral:rRNA from 1 species